rnacentral:rRNA from 1 species
UACGUAGGGUGCAAGCGUUGUCCGGAAUUAUUGGGCGUAAAGAGCGUGUAGGCGGCCCGAUUAGUCCGCUGUGAAAGUCCAGGGCUCAACCCUGGAAUGCCGGUGGAUACUGUCGGGCUAGAGUCCGGAAGGGGCGAGUGGAAUUCCUGGUGUAGCGGUGAAAUGCGCAGAUAUCAUUCGGAACUCCGGUGGCGAAGGCGGCUCGCUGGACCUCUUCUGACGCUGAGGCGCGAAAGCUAGGGGAGCAAACGGG